rnacentral:sRNA from 1 species
GCCAGGCGCAGUGGCCUGUGCCUAUAAUCCCAGCGGCUCAGGAGGCUGAGACAGGAGGAUCGCAAGCCAGCCUCAGCAAAAGCAAGGUGCUAAGGUUCUCAGUGAGACCCUGUCUCUA